GAAGAGACUGGAUGGAAAUACAUACAUGGUGAUGUAUUUAGGUACCCGAAACACAAAUCUCUUUUUGCAGCCUGUCUUGGUUCUGGUACCCAACUGUUUACACUUACAGUGUUCAUUUUCAUACUUGCGCUUGUUGGAGUGUUUUAUCCAUACAACCGAGGGGCUUUAUUUACUGCACUAGUUGUAAUCUAUGCUCUCACAUCUGGGAUUGCUGGCUAUAUCGCAACUUCCUUUUACUGCCAGCUUGAGGGAACAAAUUGGGUUAGGAAUCUACUGUUGACGGGAUGCCUUUUCUGUGGGCCUUUGUUUCUUACAUUUUGCUUUUUAAAUACCGUUGCAAUUGCCUAUACAGCAACUGCUGCUCUUCCUUUUGGUACUAUUGUUGUAAUAGUCCUGAUAUGGACUCUUGUAACAUCGCCUUUGCUGGUGUUGGGUGGAAUUGCUGGUAAAAAC
rnacentral:misc_RNA from 1 species